AUACGGAGGAUGCGAGCGUUAUCCGGAUUUAUUGGGUUUAAAGGGUGCGUAGGCUGUGCGUUAAGUCAGGGGUGAAAUGCCGUCGCUCAACGACGGAGCUGCCCUUGAUACUGGCGUGCUGGAGUACGGAUGCCGUUGGUGGAAUGAGUGGUGUAGCGGUGAAAUGCUUAGAUAUCACUCAGAACACCGAUUGCGAAGGCAUCUGACACAUCCGUCACUGACGCUGAGGCACGAAAGCGUGGGGAUAGAAAAGGAUUAGAUACCCUGGUAUUCCACGCCGUAAACGAUGAUGACUAACCGUCGGCGAUAGACAGCCGGUGGCCAAGCGAAAGCGAUAAGUCAUCCACCUGGGGAGUACGCCGUCAACGGUGAAACUCAAAGGAAUUGACGGGG
rnacentral:rRNA from 1 species